rnacentral:rRNA from 1 species
GUGGGGAAUUGUUCGCAAUGGGCGCAAGCCUGACGACGCAACGCCGCGUGGAGGAUGAAGAUUUUCGGAUCGUAAACUCCUGUCGAAUGGGACGAAUGGCCUGGCCGUGAACAACGGCCGGGAAUGACGGUACCGUGAGAGGAAGCCCCGGCUAACUCCGUGCCAGCAGCCGCGGUAAUACGGGGGGGGCAAGCGUUGUUCGGAAUUACUGGGCGUAAAGGGCUCGUAGGUGGCCACCUAAGUCCGACGUGAAAUCCCUCGGCUCAACCGGGGAACUGCGUCGGAUACUGGGUGGCUUGAAUCCGGGAGAGGGACGUGGAAUUCCAGGUGUAGCGGUGAAAUGCGUAGAUAUCUGGAGGAACACCGGUGGCGAAGGCGGCGUCCUGGACCGGUAUUGACACUGAGGAGCGAAAGCCAGGGGAGCAAACGGGAUUAGAAACCCCAGUAGUCC